rnacentral:sRNA from 1 species
AAAGGUUGGUGAUGACAUUGCCAAGGCAACAGGUGACUGGAAGGGCCUGAGGAUUACAGUGAAACUGACCAUUCAGAACAGACAGGCCCAGAUUGAGGUGGUGCCUUCUGCCUCUGCCCUGAUCAUCAAAGCCCUCAAGGAACCACCAAGAGACAGAAAGAAACAGAAAAACAGUGAGUUGUCUAUUCCCUAGUUUGUUUUUGGUAAUGGUUUGUGAGAUGUUUGAUAUAUGUGGCUGUUUUCCCUUAAAGGAAACCUGGGGUUGACAUGGGUAUUGGGUGUUGAUAUGGUUAAGGCUGCUAGAGCCAGGUAGUAUCAAAAAGUGCCAUGUAUGCUGGGUGG